UACGUAGGGCGCAAGCGUUGUCCGGAAUUAUUGGGCGUAAAGAGCUCGUAGGCGGUUUGUCGCGUCGGAUGUGAAAGCCCGGGGCUUAACCCCGGGUCUGCAUUCGAUACGGGCAGACUGGAGUGUGGUAGGGGAGAUCGGAAUUCCUGGUGUAGCGGUGAAAUGCGCAGAUAUCAGGAGGAACACCGGUGGCGAAGGCGGAUCUCUGGGCCUUACCUGACGCUGAGGAGCGAAAGCAUGGGGAGCAAACAGG
rnacentral:rRNA from 1 species